rnacentral:rRNA from 1 species
AUGAACGCUGGCGGCGUGGAUAAGGCAUGCAAGUCAAACGGGUCCCGAUAGCAAUAUCGCGGAUACAGUGGCGAACGAGUUAGUAACACCUUGGUACAUACCCAGAAGUCGGGCAUAAUCUUCCGAAAGGAAGACUAAUUCCCGAUGGUACAGUAAUGUUAAAGGAGCAAUCCGCUUCUGGAGUGGCCUAGGUCCCAUCAGCUUGUUGGUGAGGUAAUGGCUCACCAAGGCUACGACGGGUAGGGGGCGUGAGAGCGUGGCCCUCAACGACGGAACUGAGAGACGGUCCGUACACCUACGGGUGGCAGCAGUCGAGAAUAUUCGACAAUGGGCGAAAGCCUGAUCGAGCGACGCCGCGUGCAGGAAGACGUCCUUCGGGAUGUAAACUGCUUUUGCGUGGGAAGAACUUUGACGGUACCACGCGAAUAAGGGGUUGCUAACUUCGU